UACGUAGGGUGCGAGCGUUGUCCGGAAUUACUGGGCGUAAAGAGCUCGUAGGUGGUUUGUCGCGUUGUUCGUGAAAACCUGAGGCUUAACCUUGGGCGUGCGGGCGAUACGGGCAGACUGGAGUACUGCAGGGGAGACUGGAAUUCCUGGUGUAGCGGUGGAAUGCGCAGAUAUCAGGAGGAACACCGGUGGCGAAGGCGGGUCUCUGGACAGUUCCUGACGCUGAGGCACGAAGGCCAGGGGAGCAAACGGG
rnacentral:rRNA from 1 species